AUGGAAUCUUAACGGCGGAACGGGUGAGUAAUGCUUAGGAAUCUGCCUAUUAGUGGGGGACAACAUUUCGAAAGGAAUGCUAAUACCGCAUACGUCCUACGGGAGAAAGCAGGGGAUCUUCGGACCUUGCGCUAAUAGAUGAGCCUAAGUCGGAUUAGCUAGUUGGUGGGGUAAAGGCCUACCAAGGCGACGAUCUGUAGCGGGUCUGAGAGGAUGAUCCGCCACACUGGGACUGAGACACGGCCCAGACUCCUACGGGAGGCAGCAGUGGGGAAUAUUGGACAAUGGGCGCAAGCCUGAUCCAGCCAUGCCGCGUGUGUGAAGAAGGCCUUAUGGUUGUAAAGCACUUUAAGCGAGGAGGAGGCUACUUUAGUUAAUACCUAGAGAUAGUGGACGUUACUCGCAGAAUAAGCACCGGCUAACUCUGUGCCAGCAGCCGCGGUAAUACAGAGGGUGCAAGCGUUAAUCGGAUUUACUGGGCGUAAAGCGCGCGUAGGCGGCUAAUUAAGUCAAAUGUGAAAUCCCCGAGCUUAACUUGGGAAUUGCAUUCGAUACUGGUUAGCUAGAGUGUGGGAGAGGAUGGUAGAAUUCCAGGUGUAGCGGUGAAAUGCGUAGAGAUCUGGAGGAAUACCGAUGGCGAAGGCAGCCAUCUGGCCUAACACUGACGCUGAGGUGCGAAAGCAUGGGGAGCAAACAGGAUUAGAUACCCUGGUAGUCCAUGCCGUAAACGAUGUCUACUAGCCGUUGGGGCCUUUGAGGCUUUAGUGGCGCAGCUAACGCGAUAAGUAGACCGCCUGGGGAGUACGGUCGCAAGACUAAAACUCAAAUGAAUUGACGGGGGCCCGCACAAGCGGUGGAGCAUGUGGUUUAAUUCGAUGCAACGCGAAGAACCUUACCUGGCCUUGACAUAGUAAGAACUUUCCAGAGAUGGAUUGGUGCCUUCGGGAACUUACAUACAGGUGCUGCAUGGCUGUCGUCAGCUCGUGUCGUGAGAUGUUGGGUUAAGUCCCGCAACGAGCGCAACCCUUUUCCUUAUUUGCCAGCGAGUAAUGUCGGGAACUUUAAGGAUACUGCCAGUGACAAACUGGAGGAAGGCGGGGACGACGUCAAGUCAUCAUGGCCCUUACGGCCAGGGCUACACACGUGCUACAAUGGUCGGUACAAAGGGUUGCUACCUAGCGAUAGGAUGCUAAUCUCAAAAAGCCGAUCGUAGUCCGGAUUGGAGUCUGCAACUCGACUCCAUGAAGUCGGAAUCGCUAGUUAAUCGGCGGGGAUUCCCG
rnacentral:rRNA from 1 species